GAGUUUGAUCAUGGCUCAGAUUGAACGCUGGCGGCAGGCCUAACACAUGCAAGUCGAGCGGUAACAGAGAGAAGCUUGCUUCUCUGCUGACGAGCGGCGGACGGGUGAGUAAUACUUGGGAACUUGCCUUUAGGAGGGGGACAACCACGGGAAACUGUGGCUAAUACCGCAUAAUGUCUACGGACCAAAGUAGGGGAUCUUCGGACCUUACACCUAAAGAUGGGCCCAAGCGAGAUUAGCUAGUUGGUGGGGUAAAGGCUCACCAAGGCGACGAUCUCUAGCUGUUCUGAGAGGAUGAUCAGCCACACUGGGACUGAGACACGGCCCAGACUCCUACGGGAGGCAGCAGUGGGGAAUAUUGCACAAUGGGGGAAACCCUGAUGCAGCCAUGCCGCGUGUGUGAAGAAGGCCUUCGGGUUGUAAAGCACUUUCAGUGGUGAGGAAGGCCGUAAGAUUAAUACUCUUGCGGAUUGACGUUAACCACAGAAGAAGCACCGGCUAACUCCGUGCCAGCAGCCGCGGUAA
rnacentral:rRNA from 1 species